rnacentral:rRNA from 1 species
GACGAACCGUGCGAACGUUGUUCGGAAUCACUGGGUUUAAAGGGCGCGUAGGCGGGUUCGCAAGUCUGUGGUGAAAGCCUCCAGCUUAACUGGAGAAGUGCCGUGGAUACUGCGAAUCUUGAGGAGGGUAGGGGCGUCUGGAACGGUCGGUGGAGCGGUGAAAUGCGUUGAUAUCGACCGGAACUCCGGUGGCGAAGGCGAGGCGCUGGACCCUUUCUGACGCUGAGGCGCGAAAGCCAGGGGAGCAAACGGG